GGGGGAGCUAACCAUGUGAUCACAUUCAAAUGGGGGGGUGGGUUAAUGGCAUGAUAGGGGGAGCUAACCUUGUGAUCACAUUCAAAUGGGGGGGUGGGUUAUUGGCAUGAUAGGGGGAGCUAACCUUGUGAUCACAUUCAAAUGGGGGGGUGGGUUAUUGGCAUGAUAGGGGGAGCUAACCUUGUGAUCACAUUCAAAUGGGGGGGUGGGUUAUUGGCAUGAUAGGAGGAGCUAACCUUGUGAUCACAUUCAAAUGGGGGGUUACUGGCAUGAUAGGGGGAGCUAACCAUGUGAUCACAUUCAAAUGGGGGGUUAUUGGCAUGAUAGGAGGAGCUAACCAUAUGAUCC